rnacentral:tRNA from 1 species
GCGAGGGUUGCCCAGCCAGGCCAAAGGCGACGGACUUAAGAUCCGUUUACGAAGGUAUUCGUGGGUUCGAAUCCCACCCCUCGCA